UGCUCAGGACGAACGCUGGCGGCGUGCCUAAUACAUGCAGUCGAGCGGACAGAUGGGAGCUUGCUCCCUGAUGUUAGCGGCGGACGGGUGAGUAACACGUGGGUAACCUGCCUGUAAGACUGGGAUAACUCCGGGAAACCGGGGCUAAUACCGGAUGGUUGUUUGAACCGCAUGGUUCAAACAUAAAAGGUGGCUUCGGCUACCACUUACAGAUGGACCCGCGGCGCAUUAGCUAGUUGGUGAGGUAAUGGCUCACCAAGGCAACGAUGCGUAGCCGACCUGAGAGGGUGAUCGGCCACACUGGGACUGAGACACGGCCCAGACUCCUACGGGAGGCAGCAGUAGGGAAUCUUCCGCAAUGGACGAAAGUCUGACGGAGCAACGCCGCGUGAGUGAUGAAGGUUUUCGGAUCGUAAAGCUCUGUUGUUAGGGAAGAACAAGUACCGUUCGAAUAGGGCGGUACCUUGACGGUACCUAACCAGAAAGCCACGGCUAACUACGUGCCAGCAGCCGCGGUAAUACGUAGGUGGCAAGCGUUGUCCGGAAUUAUUGGGCGUAAAGGGCUCGCAGGCGGUUUCUUAAGUCUGAUGUGAAAGCCCCCGGCUCAACCGGGGAGGGUCAUUGGAAACUGGGGAACUUGAGUGCAGAAGAGGAGAGUGGAAUUCCACGUGUAGCGGUGAAAUGCGUAGAGAUGUGGAGGAACACCAGUGGCGAAGGCGACUCUCUGGUCUGUAACUGACGCUGAGGAGCGAAAGCGUGGGGAGCGAACAGGAUUAGAUACCCUGGUAGUCCACGCCGUAAACGAUGAGUGCUAAGUGUUAGGGGGUUUCCGCCCCUUAGUGCUGCAGCUAACGCAUUAAGCACUCCGCCUGGGGAGUGCGGCCGGAAGUUUUAAAUCUAAAAAGAAUUGGGGGGGGCCCCCCACAAGGGGGGGCGCAUGUGGUUUUAUUAGGAGCAACGAGAAGAACCUCCCCGGGUUUUGAUCUCUUGUGAAACCCCGAGAGAGAGGGUUUCCCCUUUGGGGGCAAAAUAACAGGGGGUGCAUGGUUGUUUUCACCUCGUGUCGGGAGAUGUGGGGAAAAAUCCCCCAAAGAGCGCACCCCUUUUUUUUUGUUCCCAGCAUUCAGUUGGGCAUUUUAAGGGGACCCCCGGUGAAAAACCGGGGGAGGGGGGGGAGGAGGUCAAAUCUUCAUCCCCCUUAUGACGGGGGGUACACACGUGUUACAAUGGGCAAAACAAAGGGCAGAGAAGCCGGGGGGAUAAGCCAAUCCCACAAAUCUGUUCUCAUUUGGGAUCGCGGUGUGCAACUCGAGUGCGCGAAGGGGGAAUCUCUAGUAAUCGCGGAUCCCCACCCCGCGGAGAAUAUUUUCCCGGGCCUUGUACACCCCCCCCCUCCCCCCCCGAGAGUUUGUAACCCCCGAAGUCGGUGAGGUAACCUUUAGGAGCCAG
rnacentral:rRNA from 1 species